rnacentral:tRNA from 1 species
AAUAUUAAUUCAGUGUAUAACCGCACAUUGGCUUUUCACGCCAAAAGGGCACAAAGUGCAAUUAAUA